UACGUAGGGGGCAAGCGUUGUCCGGAAUCAUUGGGCGUAAAGAGCGUGUAGGCGGCCCGAUAAGUCCGCCGUGAAAGUCCAGGGCUCAACCCUGGAAUGCCGGUGGAAACUGUCGGGCUGGAGUCCGGAAGAGGCGAGUGGAAUUCCUGGUGUAGCGGUGAAAUGCGCAGAUAUCAGGAGGAACACCGGUGGCGAAGGCGGUUCUCUGGGCCUGUACUGACGCUGAGGAACGAAAGCGUGGGGAGCGAACAGG
rnacentral:rRNA from 1 species